GAGGAGAGGUCUCUUCAGAUCUACACUGAGGCACACACUGCUGAGAAUUUUCUGUUGGUGGAGAUGUGAGCAACAUCCAGAAAAUUUUGAUUUUUUCUGAGAGCAUCAAGGGCGCCUGCGGGUGAGCCUGUGUUGCUACCUCUUGCUGUGUGCAUCAUCCAGGGAAAGGAGCAGAGAACAGAGCUCUCCAGAAGUGGUGAGCUUCAGACAAAGACCAGCCAGCCCUUUCCUCAUCAGUGGGCGGAGCAGCUAGGAAGACUCUCGGCAGAUCCUCAGCAGUUUCCUGCUUCCAUGAACCCCUGUUUGGCCUGGGAGGGAGAGUUCUUUGAUCCGACAGUCAGUGACCUCGGCUCAGGCCCAGCCUGAAGGAGUUCAGAGGCAGCAUCCUGGCUCAGCACUGGCAUGGGAGGUUUCAGCUGUGGAGCUUCAGCAGGGAGCCCA